GAGGGGGGAGCGGAUUAGACCUAAAAUUACUUGUUUGGGACUUAGGAUAGUUGUUGGAGGAUCCAUUCGAUAGAAAAUUACCAGAUCCAAAACAAAAAAAAACCCUCAGACGACUUGUAUUAAUUGCAUGAGCCACAAAAUAAAAUUUACAUGUGCAUUAUGCUGAAGGGUCUUUAUUAAUCCGCAAGUAACCCACAUCCACCUAGCAAAUUGUUAUAGAAUGAAAGAAAAACAAAAAGUAAACUGCACGACAGCAGUGGUGCAACAUAUCAAUUAUUUCUUCAUCACGAAAAAUUUCUUAAUAAUGCUGAGCUGCCAAGAAACAGAGGAAAAAAUAGUGAAAUGCCAGGAUGGACAGACAAUAGAACCCUCUGUUGUUGUGCCGCAAAUGAUUUAUCGUCCCUAGAAACUCGUGUAUUUAUCAUAAAUUAGUAGGCCUCCCAAUCUUCCAAAAUUUUGAAGUUCCUUCCUGAAUGCCUCAGUAUUACAAUAAUCCCUUAGGCAAAUGGGUAAUGCACAAUUUUCAUGAGUAUUUAGGAGUCCAUCCAAAAUUCAGAAAAAUAGAAGUUUGCUCUUCUUUUUCUGCCUUUCCACCGACCACCCUAAUGUACAUAAAUAAAAAAUGGGCGGAUCCGUUUCCAAUCUCAAAAUCCUAUAGGUUAGUACCAACAAAAUUGCAGCAGCUUGCUCAAUUUGAUUCCUGGACAGAACCUGAAGAUGACUCUUCAUUUACAAAAUCCUUGCUGAUUGACAAACUAGUCUGACUUUCUUGGUAACUUUCUUCACUGGUGGCAGCCCGAUUUUUGCUGGUUCUUGGCCUGAUGUUUACACCCAUGGGAAAGGGCACCUACAAAACCAGGAAAGUGAGACCUCAAAACACCUUUUAAUUUUCCUCAGACACAGAUCACAUAAUUUCAAAGUGAAACCAAGCACUAAAGCAAUAUCAAACUGAUGCUCCAACCCUUUUUCUGCCUUCCCACUGACCACCCUAAUGUACAUUAAUAAAAAAUGGGCGGAUCCGUUUCCAAUCUCAAAAUCCUAUAGGUUAGUACCAACAAAAUUGCAGCAGCUUGCUCAAUUUGAUUCCUUGACAGAACCUGAAGAUGACUCUUCAUUUACGAAAUCCUUGCUGAUUGACAAACUUGUCUGACUUUCUUGGUAACUUUCUUCACUGGUGCCAGCCCGAUUUUUGCUGGUUCUUGGCUUGAUGUUUACACCAAUAGGAAAGGGCACCUACAAAACCCGGAAAGUGAGACCUCAAACACCUUUUAAUUUUCCUAAGACACAGAUCACACAAUUUCAAAGUGAAACCAAGCACUAAGGCAAUAUCAAACUGAUGCUCCAACCACGAAAUUGUAAAAGCUUAGGGUGCGUUUGGUAUGAAGGAAAAUGCGCUCCCCAAAAUGUAUUCUGGAAAAUGAGUAAUUUUCUCACAGCCAAACACCAGAAAUAUCUUAAGUAAAUAUUGUUUUAUCAAAAGAGAAAACAUGACUUCCCUCACUUGUGUUUUUCCCUAAUAGCCCCCAUUAAAAUAGUUGCUAUAGUUAAAAUGUGUUUGAUAGUGACAGAAAAUAACAACACAC
rnacentral:lncRNA from 1 species